CUACGGGUUGCUCCAGUCGAGAAUUUUUCACAAUGGGGGAAACCCUGAUGGAGCGACGCCGCGUGGAGGAUGAAGGUUUUCGGAUUGUAAACUCCUGUCAAAUGGGAACAAGAAAGUGAUAGUACCAUUAGAGGAAGAGACGGCUAACUCUGUGCCAGCAGCCGCGGUAAUACAGAGGUCUCAAGCGUUGUUCGGAUUCAUUGGGCGUAAAGGGUGCGCAGGCUGUGGGGUAAGUCGGAUGUGAAAUUUAGGGGCUCAACCUCUAAACUGCAUUCGAUACUGCUCCGCUAGAGGUAUGUAGAGGAGAUUGGAAUUCACGGUGUAGCAGUGAAAUGCGUAGAUAUCGUGAGGAAGACCAGUGGCGAAGGCGAAUCUCUGGGCAUUACCUGACGCUCAUGCACGAAGGCCAGGGGAGCAAACGGGAUUAGAUACCCCCGUAGUC
rnacentral:rRNA from 1 species